AUGCCAAGUGUAUUUGUUCCUUAUUCAUUUAAUUUUCUAAACAUUUUCAUUAAUGUUCUUAAACAGGGUAAAGUUGAGGAACUUCUUGGGAAAAAGAAGGAUCUUGAGGCUACUGUUGAAAAUUUGCAGGAGAGAGGAAAGGAAAUGAAAAAUAUUCUUCAAAUUAGAGAGAAAGAAAUGCAUGAUUUGCAAAUACAGCUGACUACUAAAGUUGAAAAGGAACAGAGUUAUAUAGAACAACUUACGACACUGAAUGCAGAUCUGGAACGAGAGGCACUAAAGAAUGAGCAACUAACAGUGCAUAUCAACACGCUCUUAUUAGAAAAAGAGCAAAUGGACCAAGAGAAAAGUAAUAUAGCUGCAGAACUCAGGAAACUACAAGAAAUUCAUGAGGUAAGUUGUAAACUUCCAGCUGUUCUUAAAGGAUAA
rnacentral:lncRNA from 1 species